UGAACGCUGGCGGCAGGCCUAACACAUGCAAGUCGAACGGCAGCACAGAGGAGCUUGCUCCUUGGGUGGCGAGUGGCGGACGGGUGAGGAAUACGUCGGAAUCUGCCUAUUUGUGGGGGAUAACGUAGGGAAACUUACGCUAAUACCGCAUACGACCUACGGGUGAAAGUGGGGGACCUUCGGGCCUCACGCAGAUAGAUGAGCCGACGUCGGAUUAGCUAGUUGGCGGGGUAAAGGCCCACCAAGGCGACGAUCCGUAGCUGGUCUGAGAGGAUGAUCAGCCACACUGGAACUGAGACACGGUCCAGACUCCUACGGGAGGCAGCAGUGGGGAAUAUUGGACAAUGGGCGCAAGCCUGAUCCAGCCAUGCCGCGUGUGUGAAGAAGGCCUUCGGGUUGUAAAGCACUUUUGUCCGGAAAGAAAAGCUUAGGGUUAAUAACCCUGAGUCAUGACGGUACCGGAAGAAUAAGCACCGGCUAACUUCGUGCCAGCAGCCGCGGUAGUACGAAGGGUGCAAGCGUUACUCGGAAUUACUGGGCGUAGAGCGUGCGUAGGUGGUUUGUUAAGUCUGAUGUGAAAGCCCUGGGCUCAACCUGGGAAUGGCAUUGGAAACUGGCUUACUAGAGUGCGGUAGAGGGUAGUGGAAUUCCCGGUGUAGCAGUGAAAUGCGUAGAUAUCGGGAGGAACAUCUGUGGCGAAGGCGACUACCUGGACCAGCACUGACACUGAGGCACGGAAGCGUGGGGAGCAAACAGGAUUAGAUAUCCUGGUAGUCCACGCCCUAAACGAUGCGAACUGGAUGUUGGGGGCAACUUGGCCCUCAGUAUCGAAGCUAACGCGUUAAGUUCGCCGCCU
rnacentral:rRNA from 1 species